GACAGAGGGUGCAAACGUUGUUCGGAAUUAUUGGGCGUAAAGCGCGUGUAGGCGGCUUUGCAAGUCGGGUGUGAAAGCCCUCAGCUUAACUGAGGAAGUGCGCCCGAAACUGCUUGGCUUGAGUACCGGAGAGGAUGGUGGAAUUCCCGAAGUAGAGGUGAAAUUCGUAGAUAUCGGGAGGAACACCGGUGGCGAAGGCGACCAUCUGGACGGAUACUGACGCUGAGACGCGAAAGCGUGGGUAGCAAACAGG
rnacentral:rRNA from 1 species